rnacentral:rRNA from 1 species
GCAACGAGCGCAACCCUCGCCCUUAGUUGCCAGCAUUUAGUUGGGCACUCUAAGGGGACGUGCCGGUGAUAAGCCGAGAGGAAGGUGGGGAGUGACGUCAAGUCCUCAUGGCCCUUACGGGCUGGGCUACACACGUGCUACAAUGGUGGUGACAGUGGGCAGCGAGCACGCGAGUGUGAGCUAAUCUCCAAAAGCCAUCUCAGUUCGGAUUGCACUCUGCAACUCGAGUGCAUGAAGUUGGAAUCGCUAGUAAUCGCGGAUCAGCAUGCCGCGGUGAAUACGUUCCCGGGCCUU